GAGUUUGAUCCUGGCUCAGAAUGAACGCUGGCGGCGUGCUUAACACAUGCAAGUCGAACGAUGAAGCCUAGCUUGCUAGGUGGAUUAGUGGCGCACGGGGGAGUAAUAUAUAGGUAACGUGCCUCUUAGUCUGGGAUAGCCAUUGGAAACGAUGAUCAAUACUGGAUACUCCUUCUCAUUAUAAUUUGAGUUGGGAAAGUUUUUCGCUAAGAGAUCGGCCUAUUUCCCAUCAGGUAGUUGGUAGUGAAAGAGACUACCAAGCCUAUGACGGGUAGCGGGUUUGAGAGGAUGAUCCGCCACACUGUUACUGAUGCACUGCUCAGACUCCUACGGGAGGCAGCAGUGGGGAAUAUUGCACAAUGGACGCAAGUCUGAUGCAGCAAUGCCGCGUGUGUGAAGAAGGACUUAGGGUUGUAAAGCACUUUCAGACGUGAGGAAAAGUUUAAGGUUAAUAACUUUUGGCCUUGACGUUAACUUUAGAAGAAGCACCGGCUAACUCCGUGCCAGCAGCCGCGGUAAUACGGAGGGUGCAAGCGUUAAUCGGAAUUACUGGGCGUAAAGCGCGCGUAGGCGGUUAGUUAAGUUAGAUGUGAAAGCCCCGGGCUCAACCUGGGAACUGCAUUUAAAACUGGCUAACUAGAGUAUGGUAGAGGAGAGUGGAAUUUCAGGUGUAGCGGUGAAAUGCGUAGAUAUCUGAAGGAACACCAGUGGCGAAGGCGACUUCCUGGACCAAUACUGACACUGAGGUGCGAAAGCGUGGGUAGCAAACGGGAUUAGAUACCCCGGUAGUCCACGCCGUAAACGAUGUCAACUAGUUGUUGGGAGAAUUUAUCUCUUAGUGACGCAGCUAACGCGAUAAGUUCUCCGCCUGGGGAGUACGGCCGCAAGGUUAAAACUCAAAUGAAUUGACGUUGGCCCGCACAAGCGGUGGAGCAUGUGGUUUAAUUCGAUGCAACGCGAAGAACCUUACCUACUCUUGACAUCCACAGAAUUUAGCAGAGAUGCUUUAGUGCCUUCGGGAACUGUGAGACAGGUGCUGCAUGGCUGUCGUCAGCUCGUGUUGUGAAAUGUUGGGUUAAGUCCCGCAACGAGCGCAACCCCUAUCCUUAGUUGCCAGCACGUAAUGGUGGGAACUCUAGGGAGACUGCCGGUGAUAAACCGGAGGAAGGUGGGGACGACGUCAAGUCAUCAUGGCCCUUACGAGUAGGGCUACACACGUGCUACAAUGGUACAUACAAAGGGUUGCGAAGCCGCGAGGUCGAGCCAAUCCCAAAAAGUGUAUCGUAGUCCGGAUUGGAGUCUGCAACUCGACUCCAUGAAGUCGGAAUCGCUAGUAAUCGUAGAUCAGAAUGCUACGGUGAAUACGUUCCCGGGCCUUGUACACACCGCCCGUCACACCAUGGGAGUGGGUUGCACCAGAAGUGGCUAGUCUAACUGUUUACAGGGGACGGUCACCACGGUGUGAUUCAUGACUGGGGUAAAGUCGUAACAAGGUAACC
rnacentral:rRNA from 1 species